AAAAAGUGAAGGAAAACUCCCAUGUUAUUAUAAACACCUUGAUUUCUAAGAAUUCAAUCCUACCACCCAUCACAAACCAAAACCUCAUUUGUAAAUGCUACUACAUAUAAUACGAAAUGUUAUAUAAACACCAAAACAAAACGCGAGAAUAAAAUUAUAAUCCGUACAUAUACAUACCAUCCGUCCAGUCCAUGACAAUACCGACCGUCCAAACAAAGAAUAACAAAAUGUUGAAUAUAGAAGCAAAAGUAAACAUAAAAAAACGCAUCAUCGACUCAAUGCA
rnacentral:lncRNA from 1 species